rnacentral:rRNA from 1 species
UGGGAAUAUUGGACAAUGGGCGCAAGCCUGAUCCAGCCAUGCCGCGUGAGUGAUGAAGGCCCUAGGGUUGUAAAGCUCUUUCGCCAGGGACGAUAAUGACGGUACCUGGAUAAGAAGCCCCGGCUAACUUCGUGCCAGCAGCCGCGGUAAUACGAAGGGGGCUAGCGUUGUUCGGAAUCACUGGGCGUAAAGCGCACGUAGGCGGAUCUUUAAGUCAGGGGUGAAAUCCCGAGGCUCAACCUCGGAACUGCCUUUGAUACUGGAGGUCUCGAGUCCGGGAGAGGUGAGUGGAACUGCGAGUGUAGAGGUGAAAUUCGUAGAUAUUCGCAAGAACACCAGUGGCGAAGGCGGCUCACUGGCCCGGUACUGACGCUGAGGUGCGAAAAGCGUGGGGAGCAAAACAGGAUUAGAUACCCUGGUAGUCCACGCCGUAAACUAUGGAUGCUAGCCGUUGGGCAGCUUGCUGUUCAGUGGCGCAGCUAACGCUUUAAGCAUCCCGCCUGGGGAGUACGGUCGCAAGAUUAAAACUCAAAGGAAUUGACGGGGUCAUAGCUGUUUCC